rnacentral:rRNA from 1 species
UCCUGACUGACCGAUAGUGAACCAGUACCGUGAGGGAAAGGCGAAAAGAACCCCGGCGAGGGGAGUGAAAAAGAACCUGAAACCGUGUACGUACAAGCAGUGGGAGCACGCUUAGGCGUGUGACUGCGUACCUUUUGUAUAAUGGGUCAGCGACUUAUAUUCUGUAGCAAGGUUAACCGAAUAGGGGAGCCGAAGGGAAACCGAGUCUUAACUGGGCGUUAAGUUGCAGGGUAUAGACCCGAAACCCGGUGAUCUAGCCAUGGGCAGGUUGAAGGUUGGGUAACACUAACUGGAGGACCGAACCGACUAAUGUUGAAAAAUUAGCGGAUGACUUGUGGCUGGGGGUGAAAGGCCAAUCAAACCGGGAGAUAGCUGGUUCUCCCCGAAAGCUAUUUAGGUAGCGCCUCGUGAAUUCAUCUCCGGGGGUAGAGCACUGUUUCGGCAAGGGGGUCAUCCCGACUUACCAACCCGAUGCAAAC